rnacentral:rRNA from 1 species
UAAAAACGACUCUCGGCAACGGAUAUCUCGGCUCUCGCAUCGAUGAAGAACGUAGCGAAAUGCGAUACUUGGUGUGAAUUGCMRAAUUCCCKKUACCAWUGGAGUCUUUGAACGCAAGUUGCGCCCGAAGCCAUCCGGUCGAGGGCACGUCUGCCUGGGCGUCACACACC